rnacentral:rRNA from 1 species
GACGGGGGGGCAAGUGUUCUUCGGAAUGACUGGGCGUAAAGGGCACGUAGGCGGUGAAUCGGGUUGAAAGUGAAAGUCGCCAAAAAGUGGCGGAAUGCUCUCGAAACCAAUUCACUUGAGUGAGACAGAGGAGAGUGGAAUUUCGUGUGUAGGGUGGAAUCGAUAAUAUACGAAGGAACGCCAAAAGCGAAGGACAGCUCGUC